GAGACUCUGUGCGCGUGCAUAUCAAUAAGCGGAGGAAAAGAAACUAACAAGGAUUCCCUUAGUAACGGCGAGUGAAGCGGGAAGAGCUCAAAUUUGAAAUCUUCAAGGUUCUACCUUGACGAAUUGUAGUUUAUAGAAGUGUUUUCUGUUAGUAGAGUGGCAAAAGUUCUUUGGAAUAGGACAUCAUAGAGGGUGAGAAUCCCGUAUUUGGUCAUUCCUUCCUAGCUUUGUGAUACACUUUCAACGAGUCGGAUUGUUUGGGAAUGCAGUCCAAAAUGGGUGGUAAAUUUCAUCUAAAGCUAAAUAUUGGCGAGAGACCGAUAGCGAACAAGUACCGUGAGGGAAAGAUGAAAAGAACUUUGAAAAGAGAGUUAAACAGUACGUGAAAUUGUCAAAAGGGAAGCGUUUGACACCAGUGUUGUUUUUCCGAAAAUCAAUUACGAAUGUUUUAUUUUUGAGAAGUUAUGACUUCAUCGGCUUGCUCCUUUCUUUACUGAAACUUUCUUAAUGCACUUUUCGGUUAACAAGUCAACAUCAAUUUCUUUUGUUGUAAAGAGGGUAUGAGGAAGGUGGCUUUCUUUUCGGAGAAAGUGUUUAUAGCCUUGUACCUCUGCAAUCGGAGAGAUUGAGGUCUGCAGCGUAGAUCCUUCGGGGUUAGAUACAUUUGUGCUAAGUUAUAGCUUUUCAUAGACAACUUGUUGACUAUGUUUAGUCUUGUAGCUUACUCGCUUAUGCUAUUUUACCUACGCUUAGGAUGUUGACAGCAGUAUAGACUGU
rnacentral:rRNA from 1 species